rnacentral:rRNA from 1 species
CAGCCGCCGCGGUAAUACGAAGGGGGCUAGCGUUGCUCGGAAUGACUGGGCGUAAAGGGCGCGUAGGCGGAUGGCACAGUCAGAUGUGAAAUUCCCGGGCUUAACCUGGGGGCUGCAUUUGAUACGUGUUGUCUAGAGUGAGGAAGAGGGUUGUGGAAUUCCCAGUGUAGAGGUGAAAUUCGUAGAUAUUGGGAAGAACACCGGUGGCGAAGGCGGCAACCUGGUCCUUGACUGACGCUGAGGCGCGAAAGCGUGGGGAGCAAACAGGAUUAGAUACCCCCGUAGUCCCUGUCUCUUAUAA